ACCCAGGAGGCAGAGGUUGCAGUGGGCAGCGAUCAGGCCACUGUACUCCAGGAUCUCACUCCAGAGCAAGACCCUGUCUCAGAAAAUGAAAUAAUCCCAUAAGAAGUGGAUAGCAGUGUCUGUGAAAACUGUGGCCACUAAUUGACCACUGCGGAAGAAUCAUCACUGGAGCUAUCCCAUGGGACCCAGUGCUGCCUGUGUCCUGGAAACCACCUGAGGAGGUCACAGCCCUUAUGCACCUCCUGCUCACUCAGCCCAGUAGUGACUGUUAUUAACCCGUCUGUGGAUUGUGAAGUUUAUCUAGUGGUUUAUAACUUUUUUUUUUAGUGAAAUAGAAUAGAAAACAUCAAAGUGCAUACGUGUAGCAAAGGUGAGUAUUAUCUUCUGAGACUUUUGUCCCAAGCAUGCGAUUCUGAAAUACGAUAUAUAUUAUUGUGGCUCAUAGUCAAGAAAGUGUUAAUCACAUCCCUCUAGACCUCCAACCCCAGGAAAAUCAGGGCACUUCCCUCCAGUCCCCUUCAGCUCCAGAUGGUGUGAUUCUCCUGAACCCCCAGGACUGAUACUGUCCUCUAGCUGCCGGUCCUGAUGCUUUCGGACAAAUGACUUGAGCCUCUGGGUAAGCCAGACUUACCUGGAGAAAGUCAAGGUCAGGCUUUUGAGCUGUCUCCUGGAUCUGGCUGCUGAGCUUGGACAGCUGGGUGAUCUCAGCACCGAGCUGGGCCAGGUUCUCAUUCUGCUUCUGUGCCACCUCCCGGGACAGUUCCUCCAGGCGGCUUAGCAGCCGGCCCUCCUGCUCCACUAGGAAGGCCCUCAGCGCCUGGAACUCUGCCCCCACCUUCUCCUGCUCCGCUGCCAUCUGCUUCUGUCCCAGGAGGAGAAUUGGAGAGGUAGGGGACUUGAGCAUGGAGACAUAACAUUUGGCCAGUGGCCUGAGUCAUCCCAUAGGGCAAGGCUUCAUCCCUGUCACUGCUGGGGGAUCAGAGACACACCCACCUAUGCAGGCAGUGCAUGCUCUAUUUUCAAUGUCCCAGCUCCGAACAAGCUGUAGUCUCAACACGUGCUCUUUUCUCCCUUGCCACAGAUGUGCCCACGCGUGUCUGUGGACCUGUGCUCCACCACCUAAACCAAGGCAGCAUCAUACUCCCCCCAGAACUACACCAAGUGGCAGUUUCCUCACUUGAAAAGUAGAAGGGAUAAAUUAGUGCCUCCUGGGGCAACCAUAGGAUUAAACUGAGAUUGCCUUUUCCUCCUUAA